rnacentral:lncRNA from 1 species
UGGUCCAAGGUCAAUGAUGACCGGUCAUGACCCAAUGGUGACCGGUCUUGGUCCAAUGUCCGGUCGUGACCCAAUGGUGACCGGUCCUGGGUCAAUGUCCGGCCUUGUCCCCUUGGGGUCAUUUCCAGUGACGUCCCUUUGGCCGUUGACCUUUCUUGACCCAAUGGUGACCGGUCUUGGUCCAAUGUCCGGUCUUGACCCAACGAUGGCCGGUCGUGACCCAAUGGUGACCGGUCCUGGGUCAACAGUGACCGGUCCUGGGUCAAUGUCCGGCCUUGACUCAAUGGUGACCGGUCUUGACCCAACGAUGGCCGGUCUUGACCCAAUGGUGACCGGUCCAGGGUCAAUGUCCGGCCUUGUCCCCUUGGGGUCAUUUCCAGUGACAACGGUGACAAUGACCUGUCGUGACCCAACGAUGACCGGUCUCGGGUCAACGAUGACCAAUCUUGGGUCACUGUCCACUCUUGACCCAACGGUGACCGGUCUUGGGUCAGUAUUGACCGGUCUUGGGUCAAUGUCCACUCUCGACCCAACGAUGACCGGUCCUGGCUCAAUGUUGAGUCUUGGGUCAACAAUGACCGGUCUGGGGUCAAUGUCCGGUCUUGACCCAACGCUGACCACUCUUGGCCCAGUGUCCACUCUUGACCCAACGAUGACCUCUCUUGACCCAGCAAUGACCGCUCUUGGCCCAAUGUCCGUUCUUGACCCAACGAUGACCGCUCUUGGCUCAAUGUCCACUCUUGACCCAACGUUGACCUCUCUUGACCCAACGAUGACCGCUCUUGGCCCAAUGUCCGUUCUUGACCCAACGCUGACCGUUCUUGACCCAAUGUCCACUCUUGACCCAACGUUGACC